rnacentral:rRNA from 1 species
UCCUACGGGAGGCAGCAGUGGGGAAUCUUGGACAAUGGGGGCAACCCUGAUCCAGCCAUGCCGCGUGAGUGAUGAAAGCCUUAGGGUCGUAAAGUUCUUUCGCCUGUGAAGAUAAUGACGGUAUCAGGUAAAGAAACCCCGGCUAACUCCGUGCCAGCAGCCGCGGUAAUACAGAGGGGGUUAGCGUUGUUCGAAAUUACUGGGACUUAAAUCGCACGUAAGGCGAGAAAGAAAAGUUGGGGGGGCAAACCCGGGGAUUACACCCCGCAAACUGCCUCCC